GUGGGGAAUCUUGCGCAAUGGGCGAAAGCCUGACGCAGCCAUGCCGCGUGAAUGAUGAAGGUCUUAGGAUUGUAAAAUUCUUUCACCGGGGACGAUAAUGACGGUACCCGGAGAAGAAGCUCCGGCUAACUUCGUGCCAGCAGCCGCGGUAAUACGAAGGGGGCUAGCGUUGCUCGGAAUUACUGGGCGUAAAGGGCGCGUAGGCGGACAGCUUAGUCAGAGGUGAAAGCCCAGGGCUCAACCUUGGAAUUGCCUUUGAUACUGGCUGUCUUGAGUUUGGGAGAGGUGAGUGGAACUCCGAGUGUAGAGGUGAAAUUCGUAGAUAUUCGGAAGAACACCAGUGGCGAAGGCGACUCACUGGCUCAUUACUGACGCUGAGGCUCGAAAGCGUGGGGAGCAAACAGGAUUAGAAACCCCGGUAGUCC
rnacentral:rRNA from 1 species